rnacentral:rRNA from 1 species
UUAAAGGGUCUGUAGGCGGUCUUGUAAGUCAGUGGUGAAAGCCCAUCGCUCAACGGUGGAACGGCCAUUGAUACUGCUGGACUUGAAUUAUUGGGAAGCAACUAGAAUAUGUAGUGUAGCGGUGAAAUGCUUAGAGAUUACAUGGAAUACCAAUUGCGAAGGCAGGUUGCUACCAAUGGAUUGACGCUGAUGGACGAAAGCGUGGGUAGCGAACAGGAUUAGAUACCCUGGUAGUCCACGCCGUAAACGAUGGAUACUAGCUGUUGGGCGCAAGUUCAGUGGCUAAGCGAAAGUGAUAAGUAUCCCACCUGGGGAGUACGAACGCAAGUUUGAAACUCAAAGGAAUUGACGGGGGCCCGCACAAGCGGUGGAGCAUGUGGUUUAAUUCGAUGAUACGCGAGGAACCUUACCAAGGCUUAAAUGCAGACUGACCGGUUU